GGGGCUAUAGCUCAGCUGGGAGAGCACCUGCUUUGCACGCAGGAGGUCUGCGGUUCGAUCCCGCAUAGCUCCACCA
rnacentral:tRNA from 2 species